rnacentral:lncRNA from 1 species
UGGCGGAAAAAGAAUAAUAAUAAUAAUUAAAAACCAAUUCUUCAGAGAACAAUUGAAGGUCUUUCCACCUCGAUAAUUAGAAUGAAAUUGAGAAAAAGAUGUUAGAAAGGGUCACUCCUUGUUGAUGUAAUUUGGUACCUCAACUGAUAUAGAAAAAUAAGAUUAAUAAGUAUAUGCAGAAGACUUAAUUGUUUUAUAAUGA